UCCGGUUUGUCACCGGCAGUCUCGCAUGAGUCCCCAACUAAAUGCUGGCAACAUGCGACGGGGGUUGCGCUCGUUGCGGGACUUAACCCAACAUCUCACGACACGAGCUGACGACAGCCAUGCACCACCUGUGAAGAUGUCCCGAAGGAAAACCGUGUUUCCACGGCUGUCACUUACAUGUCAAGCCCAGGUAAGGUUCUUCGCGUUGCAUCGAAUUAAACCACAUGCUCCGCUGCUUGUGCGGGCCCCCGUCAAUUCCUUUGAGUUUCAGUCUUGCGACCGUACUCCCCAGGCGGAGUGCUUAAUGCGUUAGCUGCAGCACUAAGGGGCGGAAACCCCCUAACACUUAGCACCCAUAGUUUACGGCGUGGACUAC
rnacentral:misc_RNA from 1 species